rnacentral:lncRNA from 1 species
CUUGAAAAUCGAUAGCAAAACUUGAACAUGUCUGUCUAGCUUUGAUCAACAACCAACUUGACAGAGCUUGAAGAAUUUAAAAAAUAAUAAUGUGCAAAUAUUGUACAAUACAGGUGUGCAAAGACUCACAGCUGUAAUCGCUCUUAGAGACUGACCCAGAAAGACUCACAGCUGUAAUCGCUCUUAGAGACUGACCCAGAAAGACUCACAGCUGUAAUCGCUCUUAGAGACUGACCCAGAAAGACUCACAGCUGUAAUCGCUCUUAGAGACUGACCCAGAAAGACUCACAGCUGUAAUCGCUCUUAGAGACUGAC